rnacentral:rRNA from 1 species
UACGGAGGGGGCGAGCGUUAUUCGGAAUUAUUGGGCGUAAAGGGCGCGUAGGUGGCCCUGUAAGUCAAAGGUGAAAUCCCUCGGCUCAACCGAGGAAUUGCCCUUGAAACUGCAGGCUUGAGGCCGGGAGGGGGUAGCGGAAUUCCCAGUGUAGCGGUGAAAUGCGUAGAUACUGGGAGGAACACCGGUGGCGAAGGCGGCUACCUGGACCGGUUCUGACACUGAUGCGCGAAAGCGUGGGUAGCAAACAGG